CGUUUAGUGUCAAUAUUUGUGGCAAACAAAAUAAAUAAGAAAACCAAUCAAGAUUAAUGCAAUAUACAAUCAAUAACAUAAUAUUGGCUGCUGUUCGACAUAAAUUUUAUUUUAAAUAAUUAUACAAGCCAAAGUUGGUUUUAAACUAACAACAUCAACUAUUAUGCCAACUUUAGAUUUAUAUAGUUAUCAAAGUCAAACAAUUAUCGCGAUGUGAUCACAAACUAUCAAACAAAAUUGAGUCGAAAAUCGCAAAGGCAGCGUGGUAGCAACAACAGCAACCACAGCAACAGCAACAACAACAAUCAACUGGGGGAAAACAAAAGCAAAGUUGGCAGGCAACAGGCAUAAAAGUCGUGAUACUAACAAAUUUCAUUAAUGUACAACAGCGGCAACAAGUUGCAGGCACGGCUCUGAAGCGGAGCCAUGGCCAAGUUGCUUGCAACUCUCCUGCAGCAUCAUUGGCUACGGCGAUUCCAUUCAUAAAACUGCCGCACUCUGGCAUAAAAUGCGAGAUCGGGAUCGGGAUUGGAAUCGAGAGAGAAAGAGGGAGAGAACGGAAAGGGGAGGGAAACAAACACUAAGCGCAUUGCAUGAUUUUGCAUAAUUUUAUGUAAAUUUGGCGAGGCGGCUCAAGACUUGCCAGCCAAGUCGAAUGCUCACAAGCGCAGGCGCAACAGACAACGCAGACAAGCCAGGCAAAGCAGACAGACAGACAGGGCGGGGGCGUGGCAGUGUGGCAGCGUCGGGAUUUGUUGUUGCUCGACGACAUGAUAUAUGCCACAUGAUGACCACGACUAAGCUAAGCAGCCAAUGCGGCAAACAGUAGCAAUUGCUUUUGUUGUACAAGGACACGAUUAUGUGCAAAGGAUUCGGCGGAGGUUGAGAUGGAGUUGGAGUUGGAGGAAAGCCGUCUCCUUCUCUCUAGACUGCCGACGACUGAGGUCAAUUUAUGCAAAGUGCAAAACGUGGCUCAGUUCUGAAACAAAAGCAUACAAAGUAACGCAAAGCUAACUUUUAUUCUAUAAACAAUUUUUUGUCAACAAAAUGUGAUACACAAAAUAACAAAAAAAACAA